UACGUAGGGUGCAAGCGUUGUCCGGAAUUAUUGGGCGUAAAGAGCUCGUAGGCGGUCUGUCGCGUCGAAUGUGAAAACCCGAGGCUCAACUUCGGGCCUGCAUUCGAUACGGGCAGACUAGAGUUCGGUAGGGGAGUCUGGAAUUCCUGGUGUAGCGGUGAAAUGCGUAGAUAUCUGGAGGAACACCGGUGGCGAAGGCGGUCUGCUGGGCAGUGGCUGACACUGAGGCGCGACAGCGUGGGGAGCAAACAGG
rnacentral:rRNA from 1 species